GACGAACGCUGGCGGCGUGCCUAACACAUGCAAGUCGAGCGGGGUCCAACUGGGGGGCAACCCCAGGGAAGACCUAGCGGCGAACGGGUGAGUAACACGUGAGGAACCUGCCCUGGAGUGCAGGAUAACUCGGGGAAACCCGGGCUAAUACUGCAUACCUUCUUCGAUCGGCAUCGUUUGAAGAAGAAAGAAUCUCGCUCUGGGAGGGUCUCGCGGCCUAUCAGCUUGUUGGUGGGGUAACGGCCUACCAAGGCAACGACGGGUAGCUGGUCUGAGAGGACGAUCAGCCACACUGGGACUGAGACACGGCCCAGACUCCUACGGGUGGCUG
rnacentral:rRNA from 1 species